UACCCUGUAGAUCCGAAUUUGUAUGAAAUUUCAUAAACAAAUUCGUAUUUGCGGCGUAAU
rnacentral:pre_miRNA from 1 species